CUUGAACGCUGGCGGCAGGCCUAACACAUGCAAGUCGAACGAGUGGCGGACGGGUGAGUAAUGUCUGGGAAACUGCCUGAUGGAGUGGGAUCACUACUGGAAACGGUAGCUAAUACCGCAUACCAUCAGAUGUGCCCCGAUGGGAUUAGCUAGUUGGUGGGGUAACGGCUCACCAAGGCGAAGAUCCCUAGCUGAUCUGAGAGGAUGACCAGCCACACUGGAACUGAGACACGGUGCAGACUCCUACGGGAGGCAGCAGUGGGGAAUAUGGCACAAUGGGCGCAAGCCUGAUGCAGCCAUGCCGCGUGUAUGAAGAAGGCCUUCGGGUUGUAAAGUACUUUCAGCGGGGAGGCGUUACCCGCAGAAGAAGCACCGGCUAACUCCGUGCCAGCAGCCGCGGUAAUAC
rnacentral:rRNA from 1 species